AGUUCUUGUGCCACAUGUCAGUUAAAUGUACGUCCCGACCCAGAGCGUCAAAAGUGACGCCAAGAGUCCCGAACAAACGCGUUUAAACACAUCGCCAAA